rnacentral:piRNA from 1 species
UGGAAUCGUCCAUAAUUGCUAGGGAAUGGG